CCGGGUAUUCCCUCUUCUUGAAUUUGUCUGCAACACAUGUCAGAUUAGCAUCAGCACCAGAAACAUUAAAAUUAAACAUCAAGUGUUGGAGCCUCAUACCUCUGGACGCCAUAAGCCCGAAGUCCAAGAAGUAUCUGCUUCUAUCAAUCAGGUGAUCGAAGUGCCGAAGCUUCAGAGGUCUCUUGUAAAUGUCCUCUAUCACCUCGAAUUCCUCCCUGCCGAGCUCGAACCUCGUACUACUAUCUGCAAAGACGAACCUUCAACAGUUAGACGAGUGAAUACUCUGAUUUCAAAACACA
rnacentral:lncRNA from 1 species